ensembl:lncRNA
GCUGUGCGAUGUUCGCCCUCAGCGUCGUGGAAAAAAAGGCAAACGAGAGGGGAUGUACUCUUUAACGUUGCUUUAUAACCAAGUUUCCCAUCCUUCUCUCUUCUAUCCCUCUUCUCUGUCUCCAAUGCCUCUUUUCUUUGGGCUUCAGGAGCCCAAAUACCCCGGGACUCGUCUCCUGGGCAACGUUACCGCUUCGUUACCGCGCGACCACAAGCGGAGUGUGCUCGGAGCCUUCUGGGAAAUGUAGUUCGGCCACCCCGGGGCCCCGGCCCAGACUAAUGGCUCUGCCUCCUCGGGCCCCAGAACCAACGGCUGGAUGUGCGGUCACGUGACCGGCCCGUCUGGAAGCCGGGGGAGUGGGGGCUGUUCUGCGCAAGGCCACCGGCAGGCCCAGGCCGCGGACGGUCGCAGAGCCGGCGCCGGCCCGUCUCCGUGGUAACCGGCUCGCCGCAGAGGCCUCUGGGAAUUCUAGUUGGGCGGGGUGGGGCCCGCGCCGCUGCCGUUAGCGCUCGCCGCCGCGGUGAGAGCGGGCGCGGUAGCCGCAGCCCGGCCCGGCCUUUGGCGGCGAGGGUUCCCAGCGUCCGGGGCGGGCUCCUCCGCGGUACCGCAGCCACCGAGCAUCCAGGCAGAAAGUUUUUGAAAUAUAAAGAAGCAUUUCUCUGAAAUUUAACCCUCCCACAGUACAAGUGACCUUCCUUGGGGACUUUUCCAGCCAAGAAUGAUCACAGCCGCGAGGGGGUCUGUAUCCUUGGACCCCCAGGCCCCUCAAAAGCAGGACAGAAUUGUGGUGGUGAAGGUGGAGGCAGAGGGCCACUUUAUCCUCGCAGCCGGGAGCUGGCCCACUCGCGCUUCAGACGGUUCUACCACCAGGAGACCAGGAGAUUUGCCACCCGGUGAGGUUCUGCGAUGUCCCCAUGAGCUCUGCCACCAGGGGCUGAGGCUGGAGAGACAUCGCAAGCUGCCCAUCCUGGAGCUGCUGAUGCUGGAGCAGUUCCUGGCCAUCCUGCCCCCGGGGCUGCAGAGCUGGGGCUGGGAGCGCCCCUGGGCCGUGGAGAGGAGCUGGCUGUGACGGACCGGAAGUUUCCUGGGGGCAGAGGGCACCUCCACCAGCGGCACAAGAACCACCACACGUCGCCAGCUUCAGCCAGUGAGACCCAGUUCAAACGCGGAUCUUGGGAGCUCCACCCCCUCCAAGCCAGUGACUUAAAGGAAGCUCUCUGAGGAAGAACCGCGUCUUGUCCUUCAUAUGUCUGCGGCCGCUCUGAGCCUGAGAGACUCAGGACGGUCUGUGGCUUGGCCACUGUGUGCGGCUGCGGACCCUGCGAUUGAAGCAGACAGAUCUGUGGUUCAGGGCAGUCGUGGAUGGAGAUGCAGACGUAGUCUGCCUUCCCUGGACGGUUGUCGGUCCUUCUCUUCCAGGACACACGGAAGGAAGGUGAUCUUGUCCCUCCCGCCACCCCUUCCCCCGCCCCCCAGGCCGGUUGGCCAUGUUGGCCCUGAUACUCAAGGUUCUGGAUGCGUGGUCCCCCUGCCUCAGCUCUGCCUGGAGACGUUGCCAGCCCCCACGCUCUGUGCUAAUCCUGGGCGUGACCUUGGGGUGGAGGAGGCAGGGAGCAAGCAAGAAAGCAGUAUUGUUGCAGGGCCGUGUGGUUAAGUAUGGCUGGUUCAGAGAGCACCUUCAAUGUCAACUUGGCGCUCUUUGAGGGCACAGCCUAUGCCUGAGGCGUCUAUGUCCGCAUGCCUGGCUCAGCACCAGCACGUAGUAGGUACUCAUCUGGGGUGGAGCAGGAGUAUGCUUCUGUAGUCACCAGCAACCACGGGGGUCACGAGGGAGCGAAGAGAACAGAUGUUAGUGACUGGCCUGAAGUCCCGCCUGUGCCUCCCCGGCCCCUGAGGGGGACAGCAUCCCCUCGGACUAUGGUGAAGUUCUGGGGUCCAAGCAAAAACGCAGAAAAGGCCCCUUGUCUUUUGUUAGCUGCAAAAUCUCCAUCUCCCCUCAAAAAAGGGGACCGAUUCUGUGUAUGCAUUCAGUUUUCCGUAGCCUUGGAGCUCUCUAACUGUCUUUAAAAGCUAAUAGGUUAGAAAUGUUCUCGGUGGGAUGGUGAGAGCUGGUCCCUAAAGUUGGCAGUCCCCAUCAGAACUGCAUUUCCUAGGAACCCAGGGCUGCUUCUCAACAGCUGACCCUUGAACCUGGUGCAGUCAGGAGCGGGUCACUGAGCCUCAGGGAAGGAGAGUGAGGUGGGGCCCUUGCUGGCGGCCUCUUCGUCUGCUUUCCACAGGCCUCGGAGCUCACCCCGUCGUCUCUGGGCAGGAGGACAGCUGGUCCCCGGGUUUUUGUGCCCCGGCCUUGGUGGACCAUGGCUGGGAUGUCAUUUAUGGUGGGUCUCCAGAAUACCCUCUCAAAGCGCUCUCCUAAGACCAAAUUGAAUAGAAAUUAUGGAAACGGGUAGAGGAGAUCGAAAUGGAUCACCAAUUGGAGACUGUCGGGAGCAGGGGCCUGGAGGGACGGGUGGCUCUGAGCUCAGCGCCCCUAGGGAACUGGUGAAGGCUGCUCCUCAGAAGCUGUUCCAAAGGCUUCUGGGAAACUUGCUCGAGAAACUAGGUCAAGAAGGAAAGCCGUAAAGUGCUUCACGGUGUGUAAAUACACCCCCAAUCCCAUUGCCCCAUGCAGAGGACACCAGUAGAGUCCCCGUCCUGACCAGCCCAGCCAGCCUCUGUGCGCUGGCAAGCUGCUCUGCUCCCUGGGCCUCUGGCCCCGCUCACCGAGAGGCUAACACUGACCAGUGCAGCAACUAGGGGGCGUGUAGUGCUGGCUCUGCCGCGUGCUCCCGGAGCAGUAUCUCAUUUCAUCCUCCCAACAGCCCUGUGACAUGGGAGGUUUCUCUCCUCGUGGUACAAAUGAGAAGGUAAGACUCAGAGAGGUUAAAUAACUUGCCCAAGGUCAUGCAGCUAACAAGUCGAGGGGCAAGCAUUCAAGUCCAGGUCUGACCCCCCAACGCCUUUCAAAGUCCUAGUUUGCCCGUGGCAGGACUUGUAAUUCCGUGCACCGGACUAACCAGUCCACUUUCCAUCCUAUGAACUGGCCAUAGUGAAAUGGUCCUGCUUCCACACUCUCUUCUUCAGCCUGUCAGGGCCGCAGAUGGUUUCUCAGAGGCCAGGAGCGGUCAGGACGGGGCGCUCCCAUCCCUAUUAAAGCCGUGUUCAUGAGGAACGUCAGGCUUUCUGCCGGCAGCCCCUGGAAUUUCUGCUGUGGGAAUUCGGGAGAUCCUCGAGUCAUGGCCCGCUCAAGAAUCGGUGGUUGUGUCUCAAUUCUGUAAGUCAGGUAUUCGGGCAGAGCAAGGCAGGAACAAUUUAGUUCUGCUCCGCCCUGUCUGAGCCUCAGCUGGAGUGGCCCCACUGACUGUAUUUGACUGGGGCGGUUUGACUGGCCAUAGGUCAGAGGCCUUGCUUCUGUCUGCCAGCUGGAUUCCUCCCCAGUUGUCCAUGAGGUGGUCACUGAAGUGGGGCUGAAAUGUCCAAAAUAGCUUUUGCUUUCAUGUCUCUGCUGCCUCUGCGUGCUCCCGUGAAGCCCCUCUCCACAGAGUAGCCUAAUCUUACAUUGUUGCUCUGGGCUCCACAAACCCCCUAUCCAUGCUCUUCUCUCCUCUCCUCUGCACCUGUCCCAGCCCACAGCCCGUGUGUGGGGAGCUGUCUCGUUCAGCCGCCGUGGCCAUGGCUGUGUUGUACCACGCGACCCUGCUCUUUGCCCCUUCCCCCCCACCCCCACACCAGUCAUUGGACCAGGAUCCGUUACAGGCUGGCCAACGAUUUUGGAAGUCACCUGACUCGAAAAUACAAGGAAAAGCCAGUCAGACCAGCCAGAGUCCCCUUUUGGGAAGUUUGAAUCAAAAAAUCAGAGAGGAUAGGCAGUGUGUGACAAGAUGUCACGAGGGCAAGUAGGGCCUGGCUGGACCAGUGUGCUGGCCAGGAUUAAAAGAAGAUUAAAUGAAGAAGAAAGUUAGAGGUUGAAGAAAAACAAAAACAAGCUCUGACUUGGAGAGGAUACCCUUACCGGGGAGGGACCAGUGAGCCUGAUUUUGGCAAGAGGAUAGAGGAGGGAAUGACGAGGGCAGAGCUGGGACUCUGUGAGAGGCAGAGAGGGCAGUCCGCCCGGGAGGCACCCUUGUGCCCCACAGCUCACUAGGUCCAGCCUCGCCUGUGUGUGUCAUUGCAGCAGGCUCUUUACUUUGGUGUCAGUUGGCUUGCUGGUGGGCAUGUGACUUCAUUCUGCCAAUAAAACUUAUGAAGGAAUAGCUGGGGGACCUUCUAGUAAGAAUUUUGCUUUUUGAUUAAAAGAGAGAGAGUGAAGAGGCCUGUCCGUUCUUCCUGCUUUGAACGUGGAUGUUUAAGGGCAUGAUACUUGGAGCUGCAGCAGCCAUUUUGAGACCAGGAGGCAACAAGACCAAGGGAAAAACCAACAUACCGAGGUUGUCUGAGCAGACAGACAAAAAGAGCCUGGGUCCUUGAUGGUAUUGUUGAGCCACUCCACCUGUCCUGGAACCCCUAUUUCCAUUCUUAUUGAUAUAUUCGUUAAAUGUCUUUAUUUUGCAAGCAGAUUUCUGCUACAUGCAGCCUAAGGCAGUCUUAACCAGUACAGCACUCCUCUGACCUCUUCAUCCUCUAACUCUGAACAACUCCUUCGAGCCCCGUGGUUCUUGGUGUAGCUCCAAAUAGAAAGUCAGCCCAAGUUCAGACUUUGGAAAUCUUACUCAUAUGGUAGGAAAUAAAAGUCAAGAUUGCUCACAGCCAACAGAGCAAUUCUGGCACUUAGCCCUGACCCAUGGCCCCUACAGGACACAGACAAGGAAAGAAAGGUAGGUUAAGGAAAGUUCUAGAUGCAUGAGUCUUCUAAAAUGGGGCUUCAUGAUGAACUUUAGGAAGAAGAUCAGUUUGUGUAUUGGGCUCAAGGAUUCAUGUCUGAGAUGCAGAACGUAAGUACAGGCCAGAAAGCCAUGGAAAGCAUGCGGAAGGAGCCGCAGUGGCUGCCUGGAAUGGGCAGGUGGUGGGCGGGUUGGAUGACUCGUGCAGAAGGAGGCCAGUGAGCACAGCAGGAGUUUAUGAGCUCCAAGUACCAGCUGGAAGGAGUUUAUGGCAGCUAGAGUGAAACCGGUGGAAAAUGAGGCCUUUUAGUUACUCCCCAGCCAGCCUGAGUGACACUGUAGAUCCUUUUAGGAAUGAGGUGCCCUGAAUUGUGGCCGUCCUGUGUGUGGGCACGCCCAUGCUCUUCGUUCUUUGUCUCUCUUCCACCACCCCCUUUUUUUUCUGCCAUUUCUUCCUGUCUUCUCCAAGCAAAGCCAGGAGCCAGGAUCCCUUCUACCUCAAUGGGAGAGUGGAUGUCGCGGGAGGCAAGGAUGUCUUGGGAAGACUGAAUCCUAGCCUGGGCAUGGCGGUUAGGUUGGGGGAGAGAAUGCAGUCGGUUGACAAGGAGCAGAGGAAGCUUUCUUCUGACCCACCUUUCAUCAGGCAGUGUGGUUUUUGUGUUUCUUCAGCACAAAAAAAUGUACCUGAUCCUUCCCUCAUGAAAUGAGAAGUUGAACUCAAGAAUGCUAGCCCUCCCUCUUUCAGUUUCUAGCUUUAGAUACGUACCAGAGAUAAACUGGCAUCCUCCUCAGGUACCCCACAAAGACAGAUUACUCCAUUCCCUUCAGAACUCUGGAAAAGUCACCCACCCGGUUCCCAUCUCGAGAUAAUCUUCAGCGGUAUAGAGAUGGGGCCCGUAGAAGUUCAUCACAUUAAUGGGGCCCAAACAUGGAUGUGUUGCGAUGAUAUUAGAAUUUGCUGCCUCAGAUUCUGCCACUAAGCCUCAGGCCUCAGCACAGUCCUUAUGCGUACCUUAUGGAUACAGAGCCCGCGUGUCUUCUGGAGUCCUGCCCCAGAGGUCAAGACCAGGCCAACCCUUUUACCUACUACAUUACUUAAUUCAUUCAGCAGAAAUGUACUGAAUGAAUACCUAGUAGAAGUAAAAGUUAAGCUUAUCAAAGCAGUGAUAAUAUUAGGAAGAUAAGUCAUUAAAGACCAAAAAAAUCCCGUGAGAUAAUCAGAGAAAGGAACGAACGCUUUGGUUGGGAUGGAGAAAGCAAAAAGUUGAAAUCCUUAGUUUGAUAGGAUUGAUGCUUUAAUGUGGAACUUAAUAAGCCCUAAGCCCCCCGUAAAGUUUCCCCCUAUAUCACUAAGGAUUCUCUGAAAUCCAGCAAGGAAGAAACUGAAGGCUUUUCCUCAUUCUUGACAAGCAAGCUUUUUCUCCAGUGUGAAUUAGCCUGAUUACUGACUAAAUAAUCGCCCGCAAUCUUGACAACACGAGAGUCUUUCUUUCCUGAGUCCUCCCAUGAUGAGAAAGAGCUACACCAGCCCCACGUGAUUUUCCACAGUGAUUAUGCUCCCAGGCUUCUCUCCAGGCUGGAUGACCCUCCACACUUCCUCUAGAUGAUUCUCCAGCUUCAUCACAAAUGACCGGCUGAGUCCGGAGCAAAUUAGCUGACGUUGUCUGCGGGUGGGACGCUGACUGAAGGUUCCUUCUCACCCAUUGUGCUCACAGGGCUCCUCUCUGCUCUGAAAUCCCAGAUGUCUAAUUAGCUCUGAGCACUGUCUGAAAGCAUUUUUACAUCCAUUACGUGCAUAUGGUUUUUCUCCAGUGUGAAUUCUCUGACGUUGAAUGAGCUUUACUUUGCUGAAAGCCCUCACAUUUAUUGCAUUUGUAGAGUUCCUAUUGCAUGUGAAUUAGCUGCUGCCAUGUGGUGCUGGGAUGCUGGCAGAUGCCUCCCGCAAACGGGGAUUCUCUCCGAGAUGAAUGCUACAAUGUUCAGUAGGAUGGGAGCCCCGAGGAAAGCUGCCUGUAUUCAUAACAAAGAUGUUCUCUCCGAUAUGAAUACUGUAAUACUGAAUAAAUUCUCAAUUCUAAGAUUUGGCCACACUUAUCUUAUUUUUGGGUUUUCUCACUUCUAAAGAAUGUCAAUAGAAUCGCAAAUUUUUCCCCUAUUCAUCACAUUUGUGAGAUGGGGUCCCUAAUGGUUCUCUAGGAUGUCUCCAUAUUCACAGACGUCUCCAAACUCAGGGACCCGGUCAGCAUCCCACGGGGACCUUCUCCUUGUGUCCACCUAUGAUUCUACUGUUGCAGAAAGUUCCUGCUCGGGUCAGCUUGUUCUUGGUCCCAGUCUCACAAUAUGAAAUUACAGAGAACGUAAAUAUCAACCAUUCUCUUUUAAAGGACAAGAAAAUUUAUUGGACUAAGAAUGAAAGUUUUGGGGAGAAGAUUUAAAGAUAAGAGUGACUUUGGGCAAACAUAAAAUGAUGAGUGUGACAGACUGCUGGUUACUUAUAUUCGCUUUUUCUUUCUUAACCCAAUUUUGGUUGUAGUGAUGUGGAUCAAGGCUGCCCCAGGUAGAGAAGCCCAAGGUGACCUGGAUCUGUAUGACCCCAUGGAUUUUAUGGUGUGAAUUAGGGCUGCCCCAGGGAGAGAAGCCCAGGGCAUGCUGGCUUACAUGCCGAUCUAUUUGACCAGAUUCAUAUCUAAAGUUAUACGACCACACAAUAACCAGACCCCAUCUGCACUGAAACCAUUUAAUGACUUUUUACACCAUUUUUUCUUUUUCCAGUAAAAAUAAGUCACGUACCCAUGCCUUAGAAAUUUAGCCCUAACCCUCAACACAUUGCAGCAGCAGCUCUGACUGCCCAUGGGUCCUGUUCCCAUGCCAGCGGCAGCAGGAGCUCCUCUUGCCCGUGGGUCCUGUCCCCAUGCAGCAGCUCUUUACUGCCCAUGGGUCCUGUCCCCAUGCUAUUCCAUACUAUUCUCUAAAUAAAAGAGCACUACUGCCAGACCUUGAGUGUCCAAGAA